rnacentral:misc_RNA from 1 species
AAAAAAAUAAUUUUUAAUUUUUAAUAAAUUUAAGAAGGCAAAUUUUAAUUUAUUAAUUUUUUUUUCCCUUCCUGGCCUCUUCUUUCUAGCAUGGAAAGGAGCAGCGGGCUUUCUUAGUUUCUUGCAUAUUCUUUUAUUUUUCAUACUUUAUUCAUGUUUCAGUCAAAUCCAUUUUAUAUUAUAUAUUCAUGCUUUAUUCAUGUCUCAACCAAACAAGAGAGACUUUUAUUUCAUUAGGCUCCAACUGAGAUUAAAGUUUUAAAUUGAAUUAUAGCUUUAAAAAUUAUUUUAAUAUUAUAAAAAUAAAAUCUAUUAAUAAAAAGAUUAUUUAGUUAAAGUUACAUUUAGAUGCAAG